rnacentral:rRNA from 1 species
UGGGGAAUUUUGGACAAUGGGCGAAAGCCUGAUCCAGCAAUGCCGCGUGUGUGAAGAAGGCCUUCGGGUUGUAAAGCACUUUUGUCCGGAAAGAAAUCCUUGGCUCUAAGUACAGUCGGGGGAUGACGGUACCGGAAGAAUAAGCACCGGCUAACUACGUGCCAGCAGCCGCGGUAAUACGUAGGGUGCAAGCGUUAAUCGGAAUUACUGGGCGUAAAGCGUGCACAGGCGGUUUGCUAAGACCGAUGUGAAAUCCCCGGGCUCAACCUGGGAACUGCAUUGGUGACUGGCAGGCUAGAGUAUGGCAGAGGGGGGUAGAAUUCCACGUGUAGCAGUGAAAUGCGUAGAGAUGUGGAGGAAUACCGAUGGCGAAGGCAGCCCCCUGGGCCAAUACUGACGCUCAUGCACGAAAGCGUGGGGAGCAAACAGGAUUAGAUACCCUGGUAGUCCACGCCCUAAACGAUGUCAACUAGUUGUUGGGGAUUCAUUUCCUUAGUAACGUAGCUAACGCGUGAAGUUGACCGCCUGGGG